rnacentral:rRNA from 1 species
AUUGAACGCUGGCGGCAGGCUUAACACAUGCAAGUCGAGCGGGGGAGGUUGCUUCGGUAACUGACCUAGCGGCGGACGGGUGAGUAAUGCUUAGGAAUCUGCCUAUUAGUGGGGGACAACAUUCCGAAAGGGAUGCUAAUACCGCAUACGCCCUACGGGGGAAAGCAGGGGAUCUUCGGACCUUGCGCUAAUAGAUGAGCCUAAGUCGGAUUAGCUAGUUGGUGGGGUAAAGGCCUACCAAGGCGACGAUCUGUAGCGGGUCUGAGAGGAUGAUCCGCCACACUGGGAAGGAGGCACGGCCCAGACGCCUACGGGAGGCAGCAGUGGGGAAUAUUGGACAAUGGGGGGAACCCUGAUCCAGCCAUGCCGCGUGUGUGAAGAAGGCCUUAUGGUUGUAAAGCACUUUAAGCGAGGAGGAGGCUACUGAGACUAAUACUCUUGGAUAGUGGACGUUACUCGCAGAAUAAGCACCGGCUAACUCUGUGCCAGCAGCCGCAGUAAAAC